rnacentral:rRNA from 1 species
GGUCGCAGCUACCUGCAGUCGAGCGCCCCGCAAGGGGAGCGGCAGACGGGUGAGUAACGCGUGGGAAUCUCACUUAGCCCUGCGGAAUAGCUCCGGGAAACUGGAAUUAAUACCGCUUACGCCCUACGGGGGAAAGAUCUUAUCGGGGUUUGAUGAGCCCGCGUUGGAUUAGCUAGUUGGUGGGGUAAAGGCCUACCAAGGCGACAAGAUGUCUAGGGGAUCUGAGAGGAUGACCCCCCACACUGGUACUGAGACACGGACCAGACUCCUACGGGAGGCAGCAGUAAGGAAUAUUGGUCAAUGGGCGCAAGCCUGAACCAGCCAUGCCGCGUGCAGGACGACGGCCCUACGGGUUGUAAACUGCUUUAGUCGGGGAAUAAACCUGCAUAUGUAUAUGCAGCUGAAUGUACCCGAAGAAUAAGGAUCGGCUAACUCCGUGCCAGCAGCCGCGGUAAUACGGAGGAUCCAAGCGUUAUCCGGAUUUAUUGGGUUUAAAGGGUGCGUAGGCGGCUUGUUAAGUCAGAGGUGAAAGACGGUAGCUCAACUAUCGCAGUGCCUUUGAUACUGAUGAGCUUGAAUGAAGUUGAGGUAGGCGGAAUGUGACAAGUAGCGGUGAAAUGCAUAGAUAUGUCACAGAACACCGAUUGCGAAGGCAGCUUACUAAGCUUUAAUUGACGCUGAUGCACGAAAGCGUGGGGAUCCAAACAGGAUUAGAUACCCUGGUAGUCCACGCCCUAAACGAUGAACACUCGAUGUUGGCGAUACACAGUCAGCGUCUAAGCGAAAGCGUUAAGUGUUCCACCUGGGGAGUACGCCCGCAAGGGUGAAA